rnacentral:rRNA from 1 species
UGGGAUGACGUCAAAUCCUCAUGGCCCUUAUAGGUGGGCUACACACGUCAUACAAGUGGCCGGUACAAAGGGUCGCAAACCCGCGAGGGGGAGCCAAUCCAUCAAAGCCGGUCGUAGUCCGGAUCGCAGUCUGCAACUCGACUGCGUGAAGGUCGGAAUCGCUAGUAAUCGUGGAUCAGCAUGUCACGGUGAAUACGUUCCCGGGUCUU